UGCCCGCUCUCAGGCUUCUCUCUGCGAGUAGAGAAGGACGUGGUUUAUUUACUUGUGAUUUACAUUUCAAAUCAAAUUAAUACGAAUCAGAUACUUGAAAAUCAGUAUAGCAUGUGAACAAAAGGAAAACCUAUGUGAACAGGAUCAAUACGCAUACGAAUACCAUGCCGAAAGAAUGACUCAUCUUUUGAGGUUAUCCACGAAUCGACCCAGUUUUUGGCAUCUUCAUAAGAAUGGAAGUGCUGCUCAGCCAGGCCAUGAGUCAUCGAUCGGAACAAAUGGUAAUCGGAAGGAACAAUGUCCAGUGAAUACGGCAGGUGGAGUAGGACUUCCCAUUUGAGCGUUUCCAAGGUCUCACAAUAUGCAGCUGCAUUGAUGGUGGUCCCUUUGGGCAUGAAAUCGACCAACAAGAGCC